GCAAUGCUUCAACCACUCUAAAGCGGUUUUUAAGUGAUUUAUCACACCGCCACGGUGAGUCUAAGAGGAGGC
rnacentral:misc_RNA from 1 species